CCCCGGCGGAAGUCAGAGGCGCCGGGGCAGGAGCGCGGCCGCGGCGUUGCGGACGGCCGGGCGAUGGCCGAGAAGUUCGACCACCUGGAGGAGCACCUGGAGAAGUUCGUGGAGAACAUCCGGCAGCUCGGCAUCAUCGUCAGCGACUUUCAGCCCAGCAGCCAGGCCGGGCUCAACCAGAAACUGAAUUUUAUUGUUACUGGCUUACAGGAUAUCGAUAAGUGCAGACAGCAACUUCAUGAUAUUACUGUCCCUUUAGAAGUUUUUGAAUACAUAGAUCAAGGUCGAAAUCCCCAACUCUAUACCAAAGAGUGCCUGGAGAGGGCUCUGGCUAAAAAUGAACAAGUUAAAGGCAAGAUUGACACAAUGAAGGUCUUUCUUCUUCAUGACUUGAGGAUGUUCCCAGGCUCUAGUGCGGGUCAGAGCCCCCUGAUUCUAUCCCUGGUGCCACUCUAUUCUGCAAAUGGGCGAUGGAGCAGAAGAUGAAGUGUCACACCACGGCGCUGCUCAGGGCUGGCAACGGCUGCCAUCCUCCGGCCUCCAGGAUCUAAACAUGGUACGCAACAAUCACAUGCUACUUAGGAUGCUCCUGGCACUUUUGAAGUGAUGUGCAGGCAACAAUUCAUUUAAUCCUCUAAAUAACUGCUAUGAACUGGACGUCUGCGUCCUCCUCAAAUUCGUACACCGAAACCCUAAUGCCCAGUGUGAUGGUUUUUGGAACUGAGGGCUUGGGGAGGUAAUUAGGUUUAGAUGAGGUCAGGAGGGUGGAGCCCCCAUGAUGGGAUUAGUGUCCUUGUGAGGCGAUGGAGGGACCAUGUGAGGACACAACCAGAAGGCAGCUGUCCACAAGCCUGGAAGCCGGCCUCAACAGACACCAGAUCUGCCGGCUUCUUGAACUUGAACUUUGCAGCCUCCAGAACUGUGAGAAACAAAUGUUGGCUAUUUAAGCCACCCAGUCUAUGGUAUUUUCGUUGUACCAGCCCAAACUAAGACAAUACAGUAAGUCCCCUACCCAUGAACCUUCAAAUUGCGAACUUUCAAAGAUGCGAAUGUGAGUUCCAUCAACAUCAGGCGUGAGUGAAAUUGCAGCUUGCCCUCCGUCUCCUGUUGCAGAAAAUCCUUCAGCUCUACCAACUUCCAUCUCCUCCAGUCAGUAACUCUUCUUGCCUGUUCACUCGAUGCCAGCCCCUGGAUGCCAGCUGUCGUACUGCACUACUGUACUUUUCAAGGUAACGAGCCUGACUUCACGUAGCAGCGCUCCGAUCAUCUUGGAGGCAUAAGAUUGCACACAUUUUAGAAAUGGACCAGCAGAGAUUCCGAGAUGUUGAGGAGGCUGCCCAGGUCACACAGCUCUCAAGGGAACACUAACGCAGGUCCUCUGACUUCAGGCCACCGUGCUUCGGUCCCCUGUGACGGUGCUCCGACACCGGCUCUGCAUUAAGUCUCCCGCGGCCGCCGUAGCAAAUCAUCAGAGCUGAAGCAGCUCAACAGCAGACGUUUGUCAUCGUGCACUUCCGGGGGCCACAAGUGAGACCCGGGUCUCACGGGGCUGAGAUCUAGGCGUCGUGGGCUGCGUCCUUCUGGAGGCUCUGCGCGAGGAUCUGUUUCUUUGCCUGAGGUUUGCCUGCCUUCCGUGGCCUGUAGCCUCCUCCUCCAUCUCCGCCGCCAGCUACGCUGUCUCUCUGCCUUGGUCACAUCCCCCUCCGGCCCCCCUUCUCUGCCAACCUCUUGCCCCUUUGAGGAGCCUGUGGUUACCCAAGGCCACCCAGGUGAGCCAGGAUGACCCCUCCACUCUCAGGCCAGGUCGUCAGCGGCUCCAUUCCAUCGGCGACCUCAGUCCCCCUUUGCUGUGAAGCCCACCGUAGUCCCAGGUCCCUGGGAUGAGGACGGAACCCUCCUCGGGGACGCGUUCUGCCAGCUACCCCGGUCUCUGGCAUUUCUGGUGGGAGCUGAGGCACAGGCGUGGGAAGAGGACGCCCACGUCACCCACGGCGCCCACAAGCACCCACAGCUGGGGGCCCACACGUGAGGGCCGGGGCAGAGGCGCACCUGUCACCCUCAGGGCGCGGCCCCCGGCCUCUGGCCGGGCUCCACUCGCCGCCCUGCACCUCUCACAGGCUCCCGGCCCGCGGGGCGGCGGAGGUGACCUCCUCGGGCGCCCCUCGAGGGCUCCCCUGCGAACAGGGCACAGGAAUCGCAGCUCCCGCUGUGCCGUGUGGGCCUUCCAGGAGGCCACGUGCGUAGAGCCCCUAGCGCAGGUGGGCAGUGCCGAGCGAGGGUCUGCUGCGUAAACGCACACACACGGCUGCCUCGGCGAGCCUCCCUGCCUCCCGAGUGCCUGGCGGGGUCGGUGUAGACGUUCCCACGUAUACCGGCUGUCCCCUGCUUCUGCCCCCACGGUCCUGGACCCUUGCCCUUUGCUGGCGCCACGGGACUGGUUCUGGAAGGUGAGCACAGGGAAUGGUGACCGCUGCAGGCCAGGGCGUUAGCUGGUUCGAAGGCCGAUCAAUUUCCGCCACUUGAGGCCCGUUCUGCAGACGGGCUGUCUCCUUGGACAGUAAUUCAGCUGGAAGCAUCGGACUAGGGCUGGUAUCCCGACAUCUCGCAAGGUUUAGACGCACAUGGAUCUGGCUGGGGCCAGAUGAAAGAGAAGGCCGUGCUGGCUGAGGGGAGCUGUAUUGCGGGAGGCGAUGGGAAGGUGAUGGGCGUUCCCCGUGGGGAAAUGCCGGGCUCAACAGGUCUCUCUGCUGCAGGAUUUGUCAGAGCCUUUACAAUUCAGUGGGACUCUCCAGGAGGUGUGCCAUGUUCACAGUGUCCCAAACUUCCAUGACCAAUUUCUGUGAGAAACUUGAAAGACUAGGGCCUCAUGGGUAUCAGUUGGGAAACCCUGAUCUUUAGGAUCUGAGGUGUUAUUAAAUUUCAAAAAAUCAAAGAGAAGCUCAGAUUUAUUUUUAUCUUCUCGUUGGCCUUCUAUAUGGCUCUCCUAGUUGCUCUGUCCCUCCCUUCUAUGUCACCCAGGCACGGUGCUGCGUCCCCUCUGCUGGGAGGGCCCUAACUCGAUCGACCUGUCCCCCUACCAGCCCCUUCUUCAGAGAUUUUAUUCCCUGUGUCUCAUUGCAUCAGAGCCUGGUUCUGCUGACCAAAUUCUCCCUGAGACUUGGAAGGUGUCCGUCCCCACCGGGACGAGGGGGCUUUGGUAUCUCUGCACCAACUCAUGCCUUUUAUGGACCCACCCAUGUGCAGCCUUAGGUGAACCUUUUCUCCUCCGUGAACCCAAGGGUUCAGGAAUUUGUAAGUCUCUUUCUGCAAAGGGCCAGAUAGUAAAUAAUUUUAGCUUCGCUGGCCAUCCGGUCUCUGUCACAACGCCUCAGCUCUGCUACCGCGGCAUGAAAGCAGCCACAGACAGUGGGAAGGUGAGUGGGUUGCCAUAGUUUGCCAAUCCUUGCUCUAGAAUGUAUCCUGGGUUCCCUUAGAGCACUCAGACAGUCAUCAGAUUAUUAUCUUUCCUUCCAGCCACAAGGCUGGAUUAUAAACUCUAGAACUUGAUCCACAUUUUAUCUUACCCCAGGAUUGGAACGUGCACCUGAACUCACAACUUCGUGCAUAGGACCUUGACUCCUGGCUGGUGACUCAGGGCCAAUGAGUGGAAAUGGACGGGGCGGGGAGACUGGGACACAAUGCCGUGACCGCACUUAGGCCCGCGCGUCAGCGAUGGUCCAUUUGGGAGUCAGUGGGUGAGACGCGAGCGCCCUGACUUGGGGGGGUCAUCAAGCAAUGGCUCCGGUGCACUUUGUUCUGGAAGUUACAG